rnacentral:rRNA from 1 species
UACGGAGGGGGCUAGCGUUGUUCGGAAUUACUGGGCGUAAAGCGCACGUAGGCGGAUAUUUAAGUCAGGGGUGAAAUCCCGGGGCUCAACCCCGGAACUGCCUUUGAUACUGGGUAUCUCGAGUCCGAGAGAGGUGUGUGGAAUUCCGAGUGUAGAGGUGAAAUUCGUAGAUAUUUGGAGGAACACCAGUGGCGAAGGCGGCUCACUGGCUCGGUACUGACGCUGAGGUGCGAAAGCGUGGGGAGCAAACAGG